GCAGGACCAAGGCCCAUUAUAGCACCGAUUCUAAUUGAAGGGUCCUCUUUGUCUAUAUAUUCAGCUAGAAGUGCCAAUGCAGGGUCACAUUCGUUCUUGAUACCACAGUUCACAAUCCCAACUCCCAAUAGUGCACCAGCAAUGACGUGGGUAUCAGUACUAUGAAAAUACUUGUCAAUUUGUGCAAGACCAGAAUCAACAUCCCAAAGCAGGAUCAUACCCAGACUAGCUGCAGCGCUAGCUUUUCCAUGUUCUUUAUUUUUGAAAAGCCAGCUUGUUGAGGCACCACCACUUGACGCCUCUGAGGGUACAGUCAUCAACUUAUCCUGACCAAAGCCAGCAUUGACAAAGGCAUU
rnacentral:misc_RNA from 1 species